rnacentral:rRNA from 1 species
AUUGAACGCUGGCGGCAGGCCUAACACAUGCAAGUCGAGCGAGCGGCGGAAGGGUGAGUAAUGUCUGGGAAACUGCCUGAUGGUGGGGGAUAACUACUGGAAACGGUAGCUAAUACCGCAUACCAUCAGAUGUGCCCAGAUGGGAUUAGCUAGUAGGUGGGGUAACGGCUAACCUAGGCGACGAUCCCUCGCUGGGCUGAGAGGGUGACCAGCCACACGGGACAGGAGACACGGUCCGACCUCCUAGGGGGGGCAGCAGUGGGGAAUAUUGCACAAUGGGCGCAAGCCUGAUGCAGCACGGCCGCGUUUGUUAAGAGGGCGUUCGGGUUGUAAGGCACUUUCAGCGGGGAGGCGUUACCCGAAGAAGAAGCAACGGCUAACUCCGUGCCAGCAGCCGCGGUAAUAC